UAGGAGCGCUUCGAGAAGUGCAAGAGGAGGUGGGCUUGCCUGGAGUGUGUGGCUGUCCCAGGCAGGCAGGAUCUGCAGCCAGGGACUAUGGACUAGAAACGUGCCAGAGUGGACUCCUAGCCCAAAAUGUUCGGGGGCAAGAGGUCCGGACUCCCCGAGCUUUCCCGCUUUCUUAAAAGAAAGAGGCAUCCAAUUUUUGCCCAGGGACUACUUUCAGACAACACUUCAGAACAUAGUGCCCAAAGCCCUGAAGGACCACUCUCAGUGAGGAAGCCAGCAUCCAAGAGUGAGGUUAACUGGCUUCUGCCAAGAGUGGGCUUGCAAUGGAUGAAGACUACUGAAAAGCUAUCUAAGAAAUUACAGAAGAGGUGACUCAUAUUGGAACAAGGACACAUUUUUUUCAUGAGUUCAUCUCUACCUAGUACAAAGUGUCAAACUCAUAGCCCCCUCAAAAUUCCCCAUGCCACAAACUGAACCAGAUGAAAAUGUAACAAGGAAAUAGUUAAAAUAAAUAAAUUACAACAUAA